rnacentral:tRNA from 2 species
GGGGUUAUAGCUCAGUUGGUUAGAGCGCCACGUUGACAUCGUGGAGGUCAUAGGUUCGAGCCCUACUAACCCCACCA